UACGGAGGAUGCAAGCGUUAUCCGGAUUUAUUGGGUUUAAAGGGUGCGUAGGCGGAUAUGUAAGUCAGCGGUGAAACUCACAGGCUCAACCUGCGCCGUGCCGUUGAAACUGUGUAUCUGGAAUGCGGAUGCUGUGGGAGGAAUGUGUAGUGUAGCGGUGAAAUGCAUAGAUAUUACACAGAACACCGAUUGCGAAGGCAUCUCACAAAGCCGUUAUUGACGCUGAGGCACGAAAGUGUGGGGAUCAAACA
rnacentral:rRNA from 1 species